CUCUCUGCCUGCGCCCGCGGCAGGCGGCCGUUGCGCAAGGCUGGGCGCGGGCCCGCGCGCCGCCCCCCGGCCGUUAACGGUCGCCUCGUGCCUGCGCGAAGGCACGUGCACCGGGACCCCUGACCCACCGCGGCGCUUUCGGGGGGGCGGGGCGGGGCGGGGCAGGGAAAGGGCCUCACGGCUACCGCCCCCCCCAUCUGCGAUAAAAUGGAGGCCUGAAGCAUCCACCUGCAGUGGGUGAGGGUGCUCUCUCUCUUCUCCAGGUUGGUAGAGGAAAGCCCUAGAGCUGCCCCUCACUGCUCCUGCCCCCCUCACAGGCCCUGAAGGUGGGCCCGGCUCCCUCAGCAGCUGCCAGUGGCACCUAAGACUUCUAGAAAUGACUGAAAUGAAGAUAGCUGACAGUGUUAUUGUCAACUGUAAAUAUUUCUACUGUUUGACCCCAGAGUUCAGUCUUGGAAGCAGUUGUGUGUGGAAGCAGUUUGGUGUUUCAGGAGUCUCAUUUUUUGAAUGCCUAACCUGAGACAAUCUGAGCAUGAUUUUUAGAAGAGCUAAAUAUCCACAGCAGAAAUCAUUUGGAGCUGUGAGUGCUCAGUGUCUUUGAAAGAGCAUUGGUAUCAGCUCCCACCAUUUGCAAAAUGCCGCUGUGAUCAGCUGUUGAAAACACUAAUGAAAACAACAUCAGCAAUAACAGUUCUUCCAAGGUACUGUAGUUUCUUCACUUUUCCCUCCAUAAGGAUGGACACAGAGUUCAUUCUAACUCCAUCUUGCUUGUGACUGUCACCACUGUUGGCUUGCAAGAUGUUACUAGCCUUAUGCUUAUGUCAGUUACAGCCAGACUGCAUACUCUAACUCCUCUCAUCCAUCAUGAGUGCAAAUAGAAACAAACUAAUCUCUGACCAUCCAUGAUGUGACCAACUUUAUUUGCAAAUAUGUCAACUAAUUUAUCUGCAAAACCAUCAACCAAUUUGAAUGUUACUAUGGCAGUCACAUACAUAUCUGAGAAGAUGGAUGUUCCUUUCUGACACUCCUUUAUAUCACAAACUCUAUGCAGCAAAAUAUCUCGGGGUGCAGC